rnacentral:tRNA from 1 species
UUUCCUGUGGCUCAGUUGGUAGAGUAUUGCGCUAAAAACGCAAAGGUUUUAGGUUCAAAUUCCAGGGAAA